UUGAGCGUAAUAAAGCUCUCACUCGAGGUUUAAGCUUAAAUAUGCUUCUAUAGCACUAGCGUUGGACUCCAGGUGAGAAACUAUGACUCCUUAUCCAAUUUCUUUCCUGCGCAUAAUAUCUCCUUUGUUUAAACCGAAUAUUUUGUAUAUAUUGAAGCCUUCGAUACAAUGAUUAUAUUUGUUCUUGAAAUAUGAUCCUUAAUGUUCGGCGAGCAUAUUGUUUUCUUGGCUCGAACUUGGAACCUUGAGCUUGUUCUUGAAAUCUUGAACUUGUCAAUUCUCUUGGUUGCUAUGUUCAGGGCUAAUUCCUAUACUUUAUUUCUUGGCCUGAACAUUUUCCUUGAAUCGAUAUUGAACUAUAUUUAUUCUAAAAAAUCUUGUCUUGAAUGCUUUCUGAGAAUAAAUAUUUCGCUGGCUCGAACUUGAAUCUCAUGUUUAUUGAAUUCAUUGAGAUCUUCAUAUACUCGUUCUUGGAAUCCGAUAUUGAACCUAUUGUUCUUCUUGACUUUCAUAUUCACGAAUAUUCUCUCCUUGGCUUGAACGGAAUUCUCGAACAUGUUCAUUAUCCUGAGACUUUAUCCUGAGACUUGACUUGAUAUUCAAUUAUCAUGAUCGUGACUUAUCUUGUGAAUGAUUGACUUGAUUCUUGAAUUGAUUCUUGAAAUGAAUGACUUGAUAUUCCUAAAAGGAAUGAUAUUGAUUCUUGAACCUACUGUCCCCACCCUUGAGGACGCUCUUGGGGGAGCUGGGCCCUAGGACCAUUUCGGCAAGACGAUCGGGCAGUAUUGGGCUGACGAUGACUGGUCUCCCGAAUGGUACCUCCUGAUGGUUCGGACUCACGUUCGUUUGGAGUUAAACGUUCCUGAGCCGGAUCGGCACGUUCCGGUCGUGCCUCUUGCUUGUUUCCGACCGAGUGGCCACUCGGGACGGAGUGGAGGGAUAAGGAUGUGAUAUGAUUUUAUUUGUUGGGAGUUACAAGGUUGGAGACCCGACCAAAUAUUGAACUCAAGCCGUACAUGUUACACUCUUGUACAUGUUACACUUCUGUUAAUGAAAUUCUUGUAAAGUCUCUCGUUAUAUGUUCUGUUCUGUUGAUUCUCAUCAUACUCAUGGAUCAUAUGUUUUUCACUAAGUCAUUCGGACUUAUUCGUUUCUCCUUUCUGAUAUUAAUGCGCAGGUAAAAGAAAGACUUAGACCUAACUUUUCAUACCAAGUGUUAAAGCUCGUGUAUGCCUCCGAUUAGUCUCGUCGAGAGGUAUCUCUAAUGAUGUUCCGUAUAGGAAUCCUUUGAUCGAGAAUUUUGUAAUAGAGUAAGUGGUGUCGAAGUCGACUUGUAAUAGAACCUCCUUUUGUAAACACGAUGGUAUAGAUAUUGCGGUUUAAUAUUUUGAUCAUCGAAAUUUUGAGGAGCAUAUUUGGGGUCAUUGAAUGUACUGCAUGUUGAGUGGUGUUCCGCCACGAGGUGCCUGCUACUCGGGGCGGGGCGCUACAGUUAUAUUUUUCUUGGAAUAUGAUCCAAUAUUGAUUCUUGAACCUACUGUCCCCACCCUUGAGGACGCUCUUGGGGGAGCUGGGCCCUAGGACCAUUUCGGCAAGACGAUCGGGCAGUAUUGGGCUGACGAUGGCUGGUCUCCCGAAUGGUACCUCCUGAUGGUUCGGACUCACGUUCGUUUGGAGUUAAACGUUCCUGAGCCGGAUCGGCACGUUCCGGUCGUGCCUCUUGCCUGUUUCCGACCGAGUGGCCACUCGGGACGGAGUGGAGGGAUAAGGAUGUCAUAUGAUUUUAUUUGUUGGGAGUUACAAGGUUGGAGACCCCACCAAAUAUUGAACUCAAACCGUACAUGUUACACUCUUGUACAUGUUACACUUCUGUUAAUGAAAUUCUUGUAAAGUCUCUCGUUAUAUGUUCUGUUCUGUUGAUUCUCAUCAUACUCAUGGAUCAUAUGUUUUUCACUAAGUCAUUCGGACUUAUUCGUUUCUCCUUUCUGAUAUUAAUGCGCAGGUAAAAGAAAGAUUUAUACCUAAAUUUUCAUACUAAGAGUUAAAGCUCGUGUAUACCUCUGAUUAGUCUCGUCGAGAGGUAUCUCUAUUUAUGUUCCGUAUAGGAAUCCUUUGAUCGAGAAUUUUGUAAUAGAGUAAGUGGUGUCGAAGUCGACUUGUAAUAGAACCUCCUUUUGUAAACACGAUGGUAUAGAUAUUGCGGUUUAACAUUUUGAUCAUCGAAAUUUUGAGGAGCAUAUUUGGGGUCACUGAAUGUACUGUAUGUUGAGUGGUGUUCCGCCACGAGGUGCCUGCUACUCGGGGCGGGGCGCUACAGGUGGUAUCAGAGCUUUGGGUUGGUAAAGCUUUGGGUUGGUAAAGCUUUGGGUUGGUAAAGCCUUAGGUUGGAUGCCCGGGCGAUGAUGGAAAGGGAUCUUUGAGAAUUGUAGAGCUAUGAAUUGAAUCUUGGUCUAAAUUGUGAUUGGCAGUAAUCGAGUAUUAGAGGCAUUGAGAUGAUAAUUUAGCGUCUAUUACCGAUAUAGAUAUUGAGGAAUACCCCGUAGAAAUAUCUAUCAUACACGAUGAGAUUCUUGGUUCUUUUGGUUACUUCAGUUGGCUUCCAAUUCUUCGAUGUUGUUUAUCUCGAGUGAGUUUCCUAGUUUCACUUGAACUUGGUAACACCUUUUCUCGUAGACGUCUCAUUCCAUUUUACUUCAUAACUUGACUUCCUUGUCGAAACCAUAUUAUCUCGUUUUGAGUAUUGAUUUACGGUGAACCAAAUAUUCGGGAGUUCUUUUAUUCACUCCUUAUCAUUCCAAUGAAUUCAAUUUUGAUUCGUUGGCCUAUAUUGUCUAAUCUCAUUUGUUGAUCGUGAUCGAUUCUCUUAUCUCAUUUUAGUACCUCAUAGUCUUGGUUACAAAUUUUAUGAGGUUUCGUACCCCUUCAAAUUCCGCAUGGUUUGGAUUAUCUCUUGUUUUGAAGCCCUUACCUUAUUGUGCUACCAUCUCCACCUUCUAUCCUUUUUUUAAAUAUUCUAUGGUUUCGGCUUAUCUAUUUGCCGAGACUUCUUAUCCAGUUCACUCCAUCUUUAAUGUUCAAUUAUUUUGAAUACCAUAUGAUUUUGGUCAUGUUCUUGUGAGGUUCCUUAUUUUUUUCCCACUACCAUCUGCUUUUGAUAAUUGUGAGGUUUUCUAUCUCUUUGAACACUCUAGUUUCGGCUAAUCUAUUUGUUGAGACUUUUUAUUUCCUUGAAUAUUUCUUUACUUAUUCAAUAUAUACUACUCCAUUUUCAGUGUUCCAAUUUCCUUGAAAAUCUCGUGAUUUUGGUCACGUACCUUUGAGGUCCCUAUUCUCGUUUCAUUUGGCUAUACCAUUGUUAUUAUUCUAAUGUCGGGUCAAUCUUUCUACCUAUUUUUGAGGUUCUUGUUCUUUUGGCCUCAAAACUCAAUUCUUGUACAUAUGUUGUUCCAUUGUUAUUAUUGAUCACAAUGGAGAUCCCAUAUCUCAUUUUAAAACUCCUUAUCUCAUUUCAAUACUUCGGCAUCUCGGUUACCUACUUUUUCAGGUUUCUGAUUCUUUGAAUACAAUAUUGCUUGACUAUCUUACUUCCUUCCCACUAUUGAUCACGAGUGAGGUAUUUGAUCUCGUUUGAAUGCCUCGAUUUCCUGGUUCCGUUCUUUUUGAGAUUCCUCAUCUCAUUUAAUACUUCUUGAUUUGGAUAGCUUUGGAUAGCCUAUUCUGUGAGGUUUCUUAUCCCUUUGAAACCUUGUGAUUCGACUUCUUUGUGUCGCUUCUAUUUGUUCCCUCUCACUCAUAGACCAUGAUUAUUGUUAAUUCAGGGUAAAAGUAUGGACCUUGUUUGGGCAAUGUUGUGUAAUAUGACUACGGUUGUAUGCAUCUAUUGUUAUAUCAUCUUAUGGAUUCGACCUGGAAUAGUUUCGACGAUUACCUUACUGAACGGAAAAAAAAAAAAAAAAAAAAAAAAAAUAAAAAAAAAAAAAAAUAAAAAAAAAAAAGGUUAUGUAGUUAUCACGACUUAGAAAUUCUAUAGAUUUUGUUGACUCUUAAGGUAUCUUGAGCGCUUUGAAUUCUUGAUUCUAAUCGUCAGGGUACAGGGAGCUAAGUGCUAUGUAGGGCAAAGUGCUAUACAACGGGAGUCACCUCUUAAUCUUGCAUGAGCCACCUCUCGAGUCCCUAGUAUUCGAUAAGUCAGCCAUAUCUUGACAUUGGAUUAUCAUCUUUUGCAAUUCUAUUUGGUUAAUAUCAAGAGCUAAGUGCUAUGUGGAGAAGGUGUUUAAAGUACAACACCUAUGUCAAUAACACUAUAGAGGAUUGCACUUCUCUUUGUAAGAUGUGGACGAAGAACUACAAGAAUUUGUCCUUGAUGAUCAACUUGCUAUAAAUAAGUUUUGCCCAUCAUGUAGUUUGGUUGAAGUAAUUCACCAUCAUCAUUAAUAGACAUAAUGUAUUAAUGUUUCGGAUGUGAUUAGAGCGUGCUUAGUGUCGAAGAAUGACAUUAGACUAGUUCACCUAUGUUGAAAUAGUAGUGAAUUCAAUGAAUUAAGGCUACUCAAUUGUCGGAUAUUCUGAGUCAUGACUUCUCUACGAUAAGUAUUUAUUAGUCAUGCGGUUGCGAAACCACUGGAAGAUUGUAUCAACUGUUGCCAUUUUCGAUUACUCUUGAUUCUAGAAGUAAAGCUCUCUUCCAUCAACCGUUGCCAGGUCGAUCUACUAUUUGAAAACCUUUGCUUUGCGAACGCCAUCUACGAUCAAGCUCCUCUAUUGUCCCAUGUUGACACAAUAAGUAAAUCAAGCUUGCCCGACCUCUUUGAUUGUAAUCGUGGUGCAUUCAAUUCCACUUUAUGUAGACCAAUGAGAAGAGAAAUUUUUGUGGACCGGGAAAGUAGUUGCGAGUCAGAUUCAAAAUCUAUCUCUUAUAGCUAACUCACAUUGUCUCGAUAUAGAUCAUAAGUCAUCUCGUUCUUAUGAAAGCAACUAUCCGCAAUAUGGGACAAAAUCUCAGCUCGGUACGAGAAAUGUUCUCAAAACUAACUCUCGUGUGAGUGGAUGACUGAAAACAUUGAAGGAACCUUGUGAACGUAUAACGCAGAUCAUCGUGAUAAUUGGGAAUCUAUCAAGCUGGAAUACAGACAGCUUCGCAGUAGUUCAUGGAAUAAAGUGUCAAUCAAGCUUGCAAUUCCAGACUAGAUGAGCGGCGAAUAACCAACGAUAGCAAACACAAGGGGUGGUGAUUGGAGAUCGUAGGGAUGCUACGGUAAAGUUCGACUUAUCAAAUAAAGAUCAAAGCCUACACGAGAUUGUCAAAAGAGUUAUGGAGAUGUGGAAGUAGAUAUGUAAUUCUAAUUACCAUAAAUGUUCGAGCGAAAUGGAGGAGAAGAAAUACGUUCUCUUGAAGAAUGUGACACGGAUGACUAGGGAGAGAUUCAAAGAUUCGAACGAUAUAAGACCCUUAUUAAUCCCUUUCAUUCCUCUCAUCAGACCAUUUGUAGCACUCUAGCUAGAACCCUAACUCGAUUGUUUCCUAAUAGUUGAUGUACCUCACAAGUCCCAUUAAUUGGUUGACGAACUAUAUCUCGGCCUUCAACUUCUAGAACGUUAUAAAUAUUUAGUAUCUUGCUCAACGGUAAGGCUACAUCGAGUAUGAGCCGAAUGAACUGUACGAUAUUGCUAAUGGAGCCGCGGAAAUUAAAGUUCCAGAAGCAGUACUUCCUAGCACUACCUCAGAUUUGAAUUGAAUAAGUAAUUUCGAAUUCAUUACGAUAGUAGUUUGACUCGUUACUUAAGUCAGUACCAAGUCUGGAACCUAGAGAUCGUUAAGGAAACAAUUUAUGAUAUGUUUUAGGUAUACCGACUAAGCUAACACCAUUUUGAUCGAUUUCGGAUAUUAUUCGUUGAAGCGACAUGGCUUGAAGAUAAAUAAUCACAUGAAUAGAAAUCGGUUCCUAUUGUCGGCACCAACUUUCAUUACUUGCUAGAGAUUAUACGCUCAAGUGAUAUCUAUCAUGAUAAUGAAUUCUCCAAUCACAAGAUUUGAAGGUAUUAUGGAGAAACCACCAGGUUGAUGAAGCGACGGAUGAGCAAGAAAAUAAUUUUAAGAAAUUGUAUUUCCAUGUUCGAAUAAUAGUUGAGAAUCUGGGGACCAGAUUCUUUUAAGGAGGGAAGUGUGUAACACCCCGUAAAUAUGUAAGUUGUUUAAGUUUGGGGAUAAUUGAAUUUAUUUAGUUGAUAUGUGUCGAUAUGAAAUUAUAAUAUAUCUCGAAUUUGAUGGGAAGUGUAGAAUUGUAAUUAUCUAAAGUUAUGGCAUCUAUUUGGUAAUUAAGAAAACAAUUUGGCCUUAUAGCCAAUUUUCAGAAUUUAUAAUUGAGAUAUGGAUUGACGUGUGCAUCAUCAAUUGCAGCCACGUUUCUUCUUCUUCUCUCACCUUCUCACCGUCUCUCUCUCUCCAUCUUCAUCUCUUCACUCUCUCUUUUCUUAAUUACCCAACCUUUAUCUCGUUCAUUUAACAGUUCUAGCAAUAGCAAUAUUCAUGGUAUCUUCCUUUCUCCAUGAAAACUCACGGCCGAGCACCCCUUUAGAACCUUUGUUCUUCCGAUUUUUAAAUUAGUAAAUCUAGAAAUCUUAAAAUAGCAACAUGGUUGAAAGAUACGGGGCUGAGAUGGUGUUCUAUUUCCAGCAGCCGGAAUCCGGCGAAGAAGACAAGUUGUCACUUAUAAUUCGAAUUUCAGCAGUUAGGCCUUCAAAGAAAUAAUUGUUUAGAGGCCUUGAGAUUGAACCUCGUUGAUCAGGAUCCAUCGUUAGAAAGCUAAUGAAUUUGGCUCUCUAUUGGUGGUAGUUCUCGAUGGCUUGCACCGACGUUGGUCGCCGGAGUUUGACGAAGAAUUCACCCUGCUCGCUGCGAUUUUGGGGAAGCAAAAUCUGCUGCCGCACCUGUUUUCGGGGCCGAAAUCGAAAGGUUUCGAAUGCGAAUUUGGAAUCGGUUCCUUCAGGAAACUCGUAGAGGACAUCGUAAACUAUAAGUAAGUGUUCAAUUGUAUAGAAUUAGAAUAUUUAAUAUACGUGUUUUUGAGGUCCGAAUCCGAUGACAGUAAUCUGCCGGAAACAGGGCAGUUUUGAGUACCUUCUUGCGGGACUGUUUUCGAUAUGUUCGGGUCAGAAUUUAGGCUGUGCGUCUUCAUGAAACUUGUAGAUUAAGUUGUCAGGUUUCAUUUGAUGUAUUAUUUGGACAAUUUGGAUAACUUUACAAUUUGUUAUGAUUUUUCAAACGGGCUGUGACAGCGGACGAAAUUAUCCGAAAAUCUGGUAGGUUUAUGUAUUCAUCUUUCGGGGUUGUUAUUGACGGGUUAUGUUGUUAAUUUGGGAUUAGUGUCUUCAGUAAACUUGUAGAUACAGAUGUUACCUUUAACUUUAUAUAUCGUUUAGGUCAUUCGGAUAAGUACGACGAUCGAAGUGAUUAUUUGAAUAGAGUGCCACGAGAAGCAAUUCUUAGUAUAUGUUUAAGAAAUUGACUAUGUCAUAUAGUGGAUGGUAAUAUGGCUAUAUUACUGUUUGGAAUCUUAUUUAGUUCUAAUAUUUUCAUAGGUGUUGAGCGUAGUAAAGCUCUCACUCAAGGUUUAAGCUUAAAGAUGUUUCUAUAGCACUUCUAUAACACUAGCGUUGGACUCCAGGUGAGAAACUAUGACUCCUUAUCCAAUUUCUUUCCUGCGCAUAAUAUCUCCUUUGUUUGAACCGAAUAUUUUGUACAUAUUGAAGCCUUUGAUACCUUUAUUAUAUUUGUUCUUGAAAUAUGAUCCUUAAUGUUCUGCGAGCAUAUUGUUUUCUUGGCUCGAACUUGGAAC
rnacentral:lncRNA from 1 species